GCAUCCGCUUCGGAGGUACAUCUACCAAAACUAAAAUGAUGCAGAGAGGAUUAGCAUGGUCCCUGUACCUGAAUGAUAUACAACGACAUGAAAAAAGUGGUAUAAUG